GCCAGCAUGGCGUCAUGGUUUGAGUGCUGGACUGUGAUUCUGGAGACCAGGGUUCAAUUCCCAGCUCAGCCA
rnacentral:tRNA from 1 species